rnacentral:lncRNA from 1 species
AGGUCUCAGGAGUCUGAGGGAAGAUGAAAGUGAGAGUGAAGUAGUGUGGGAGAGAGGGGGAUCACAUCCGUGGGAGAGAAAAUAAAUAUGUCAGAAUAUUAGGGUGGUGAGGCCUGUAUACAAAGACAGGAUGGCAGGGAGAAGAAGUAGGCAAGGACAUAAAGGGGCUUGGGUAUGCAGAUGCUGGUCACUGAAAUGAGAAAAUUGUUUUNNNNNNNNNNUAAUUUUUUUUUACUACUAUUAAAAAAAAGCCACAAACCAGAAAAAAAUUGUUUUGUACUUGUCUACAAGGCAGAGUUAAUUUUAUUAUUAAAAAAAUACCUAUAC